UGAUCUUGUGGGACGUUGGAGCAAAACAAACAAAUCUCUUAGUUAUGUCUACCAUGACAGGGCGAGCAGCCGCCUCGUCAAGUAACACCAGAGCUUCACCUUUGCACUGAGUGACGAAGACGAGCUUCACCAGAACAUGAAAAGUAAAGGCAUUUCGAUGGAGCGACAAGUGAUGGGAUCGUCUUGGAGUAUUUAUCCUUUGCUGAUCAAGUGAUGGGAUUGCUAAUCGAGUGCUUUAUUUCAUAUAAGUAGCCUAGGAUGAUAUUCAUUUCGAUCGUAUCAAGUCGCCAUUUAGAAUACUUUGAAACAGUGGAGCAGUGCGUGUGUGAUCGUCACAAACUUUAAUUCAUGUGUGGUGUGGAUGGAGUGGGAAACAUUUAACUAUGUGGUGUGGUGUAAUUUCAUACUACUUCUGUGGUUUAAUUAAUUGUGUUUUGAUGCAUGUUAAAUGUAUAGUUAAUUA